AACCUUCAUCAGCGCCAGACACGCAUCGAUGAGAAUGUCUAACCUUGCAACACGCUAGAGAAUGUCACUCGUCAGUUGUCGUUCAUAUAAAGAAGUUUUGAGAAGUCGUGACGUGAUCGGAGGUUUGACUAGGUUUCAGAACAAUGGAUUCUUGUGUCCGUUUGACGUAAUGAGUUCUUUUGGUAUGUCGGCGGCGGGAGAUAUAUGUCUGUAUCCGGAAGCAACGGUGACGGUGUGGUUGGAAAGAGCAGCUGGCAUAAGUGAUAUGGACGAACAGAGCGAGUGAUGAUGAGCUCUCGAUGAGGUGAAGACGACAUCUGAUCGGUCUGUCUUUUUGACCACCCUUGUGGAGUUUGUUGGUCAGAAUGAGUUGAUGGAUGCUGUUGUGGUCAGUAGUUGAUGUUAAAGAGAAUGUUCAUUUGCUGAUCCCCACUUUUGGGAAAUACAUUCUGAAGCCGGAAAUGUUGAAGUGGUACUUCCGGUGUGGAGGUCCUGUUCAGUGUUUACGUACUCAUUGUCUUUUUAGAGUUCUUUUAUGUUAGAAUGUAGUUGUUAUUAGAGAGACAAUUCAAGACAAUAUCGAUUGAGCGUUUUCAGAGAGGUUAUGUGUCAGAUAUGAGAUGUGAUCACUAAUCAAAACGUUAUGGAACGAUAUCCAGCUUCGGGUAUCGUUUCAGCGUGCACAUAAGCGAGCGCGGUGCGGUCUACUGGCGUACGCGUUUCGGUUUAUAACCUUCAUCAGCGCCAGACACGCAUCGAUGAGAAUGUCUAACCUUGCAACACGCUAGAGAAUGUCACUCGUCAGUUGUCGUUCAUAUAAAGAAGUUUUGAGAAGUCGUGACGUGAUCGGAGGUUUGACUAGGUUUCAGAACAAUGGAUUCUUGUGUCCGUUUGACGUAAUGAGUUCUUUUGGUAUGUCGGCGGCGGGAGAUAUAUGUCUGUAUCCGGAAGCAACGGUGACGGUGUGGUUGGAAAGAGCAGCUGGCAUAAGUGAUAUGGACGAACAGAGCGAGUGAUGAUGAGCUCUCGAUGAGGUGAAGACGACAUCUGAUCGGUCUGUCUUUUUGACCACCCUUGUGGAGUUUGUUGGUCAGAAUGAGUUGAUGGAUGCUGUUGUGGUCAGUAGUUGAUGUUAAAGAGAAUGUUCAUUUGCUGAUCCCCACUUUUGGGAAAUACAUUCUGAAGCCGGAAAUGUUGAAGUGGUACUUCCGGUGUGGAGGUCCUGUUCAGUGUUUACGUACUCAUUGUCUUUUUAGAGUUCUUUUAUGUUAGAAUGUAGUUGUUAUUAGAGAGACAAUUCAAGACAAUAUCGAUUGAGCGUUUUCAGAGAGGUUAUGUGUCAGAUAUGAGAUGUGAUCACUAAUCAAAACGUUAUGGAACGAUAUCCAGCUUCGGGUAUCGUUUCAGCGUGCACAUAAGCGAGCGCGGUGCGGUCUACUGGCGUACGCGUUUCGGUUUAUAACCUUCAUCAGCGCCAGACACGCAUCGAUGAGAAUGUCUAACCUUGCAACACGCUAGAGAAUGUCACUCGUCAGUUGUCGUUCAUAUAAAGAAGUUUUGAGAAGUCGUGACGUGAUCGGAGGUUUGACUAGGUUUCAGAACAAUGGAUUCUUGUGUCCGUUUGACGUAAUGAGUUCUUUUGGUAUGUCGGCGGCGGGAGAUAUAUGUCUGUAUCCGGAAGCAACGGUGACGGUGUGGUUGGAAAGAGCAGCUGGCAUAAGUGAUAUGGACGAACAGAGCGAGUGAUGAUGAGCUCUCGAUGAGGUGAAGACGACAUCUGAUCGGUCUGUCUUUUUGACCACCCUUGUGGAGUUUGUUGGUCAGAAUGAGUUGAUGGAUGCUGUUGUGGUCAGUAGUUGAUGUUAAAGAGAAUGUUCAUUUGCUGAUCCCCACUUUUGGGAAAUACAUUCUGAAGCCGGAAAUGUUGAAGUGGUACUUCCGGUGUGGAGGUCCUGUUCAGUGUUUACGUACUCAUUGUCUUUUUAGAGUUCUUUUAUGUUAGAAUGUAGUUGUUAUUAGAGAGACAAUUCAAGACAAUAUCGAUUGAGCGUUUUCAGAGAGGUUAUGUGUCAGAUAUGAGAUGUGAUCACUAAUCAAAACGUUAUGGAACGAUAUCCAGCUUCGGGUAUCGUUUCAGCGUGCACAUAAGCGAGCGCGGUGCGGUCUACUGGCGUACGCGUUUCGGUUUAUAACCUUCAUCAGCGCCAGACACGCAUCGAUGAGAAUGUCUAACCUUGCAACACGCUAGAGAAUGUCACUCGUCAGUUGUCGUUCAUAUAAAGAAGUUUUGAGAAGUCGUGACGUGAUCGGAGGUUUGACUAGGUUUCAGAACAAUGGAUUCUUGUGUCCGUUUGACGUAAUGAGUUCUUUUGGUAUGUCGGCGGCGGGAGAUAUAUGUCUGUAUCCGGAAGCAACGGUGACGGUGUGGUUGGAAAGAGCAGCUGGCAUAAGUGAUAUGGACGAACAGAGCGAGUGAUGAUGAGCUCUCGAUGAGGUGAAGACGACAUCUGAUCGGUGAGUCUGCGUGUAUGGGUAUGUGUGUCUAUGUGUGACAUGCAGGUUGUCUGUCCUGAGUGUUGUGUUUGCGUG